GUGGGGAAUUUUGGACAAUGGGGGAAACCCUGAUCCAGCGACGCCGCGUGAAGGAUGAAGGCCUUCGGGUUGUAAACUUCUUUUGGAGGGGACGAAUAAAUUGACGGUACCCUCAGAAAAAGCCACGGCUAACUACGUGCCAGCAGCCGCGGUAAUACGUAGGUGGCGAGCGUUACUCGGAAUUACUAGGCGUAAAGCGUAUGUAGGCGGUUGUAUAAGUCUAUGGUGAAAUUUCCUGGCUCAACUGGGAAGGGACAUAGAUACUGUAUGGCUUGAGUGUUGGAGGGGGAGACGGAAUUCCUGGUGUAGCGGUGAAAUGCGUAGAUAUCAGGAGGAACACCGAUGGCGAAAGCAGUCUCCUGGCCAAAUACUGACGCUGAGGUACGAAAGCUAGGGUAGCAAACAGGAUUAGAAACCCGAGUAGUCC
rnacentral:rRNA from 1 species